rnacentral:lncRNA from 10 species
GCUGGGGCUGCCAGAAGUUUUUCCUUUAACUCAUGAAAGACUUGCUGUUGUUGGGAUCCCUAUUCCAAAGGUUCCCGGUCCCUGCCCCCUUUGUGACCUCAUACAAAGACUUGGCUAAUACUGCAAAGUUUGGGAUGCACAGUCUACAAAACCCCACAGCCCCUGAGAAUUCCCUCACCUGCCUUCUGCCCUUAGGCUCCGGUAGAUUGCAAAUGACCUGCUUUCUUUCUGUUCCCGGGUGGCAUCGACCCGUCGGAGAGUAAAUCCCAAGUAAGGUACCUGCCGUUGGCAGAUUUGAGCUUUCUUCUUGGACACCUAAUACCCACAGUCCUCCAGUAAAUCCCAAGCAAGGUACCUGCCGUCAGCAGAUUUGAGCUUUCUUCUUGGACACCUAAUACCCACAGUCCUCCA